rnacentral:rRNA from 1 species
AGUGAACGCUGGCGGUAGGCCUAACACAUGCAAGUCGAACGGCAGCACAGGAGAGCUUGCUCUCUGGGUGGCGAGUGGCGGACGGGUGAGGAAUACAUCGGAAUCUACUCUGUCGUGGGGGAUAACGUAGGGAAACUUACGCUAAUACCGCAUACGACCUACGGGUGAAAGCAGGGGACCUUCGGGCCUUGCGCGAUUGAAUGAGCCGAUGUCGGAUUAGCUAGUUGGCGGGGUAAAGGCCCACCAAGGCGACGAUCCGUAGCUGGUCUGAGGGGAUGAUCAGCCACACUGGAACUGAGACACGGUCCAGACUCCUACGGGAGGCAGCAGUGGGGAAUAUUGGACAAUGGGCGCAAGCCUGAUCCAGCCAUACCGCGUGGGUGAAGAAGGCCUUCGGGUUGUAAAGCCCUUUUGUUGGGAAAGAAAUCCAGCUGGCCAAUACCCGGUUGGGAUGACGGUACCCAACGAAUAAGCACCGGCUAACUUCGUGCCAGCCGCCGCAGUAA